AUACGGAGGGUGCAAGCGUUGUUCGGAAUCACUGGGCGUAAAGGGCGCGCAGGCGGUUUGGUAAGUCAGAUGUGAAAGCCCAUGGCUCAACCAUGGAAGUGCAUUUGAAACUGUCAGACUUGAGUACUAGAGGGGAAAGUGGAAUUCCCGGUGUAGAGGUGAAAUUCGUAGAUAUCGGGAGGAAUACCGGUGGCGAAGGCGACUUUCUGGCUAGAUACUGACGCUGAGGCGCGAAAGCGUGGGGAGCAAACAGGAUUAGAAACCCUGGUAGUCC
rnacentral:rRNA from 1 species